UCGAGGACGGACGUUACUUUCACUUCCCCAGCUUCCCCGACACAACUGUCUACAACACCGACGGACAAACAUUCACUGCAGGAGGCUUGCAGUUUGAAGUUCUGCACCCGAUGCUGAGGUGGCGAGUGACAUUCAAUGGCCGCCUCAGGGACGGUCAAAGAAAUGAGCUGGAUAUAGAGGAUGAAGGCAUUCUAGUGCACGUUAAAUUUGCAUUCGUGUGUACGUCUUUUUCUGGGAAGUUCUCAUACAUUGAUGACAACGAUCUUUCUGUGGUUUC